CGUGGGUAACCUGCCUUAUAGCGGGGGAUAGCCUUUCGAAAGGAAGAUUAAUACCGCAUAAGAUUGUAGUAUCGCAUGAUAUAGCAAUUAAAGGAGCAAUCCGCUAUAAGAUGGACCCGCGUCGCAUUAGCUAGUUGGUGAGGUGAUGGCUCACCAAGGCGACGAUGCGUAGCCGACCUGAGAGGGUGAUCGGCCACAUUGGGACUGAGACACGGCCCAGACUCCUACGGGAGGCAGCAUG
rnacentral:rRNA from 1 species